rnacentral:rRNA from 1 species
CAGUCGCCGCGGGAAUACGUAGGGUGCAAGCGUUAAUCGGAAUUACUGGGCGUAAAGCGUGCGCAGGCGGUUUUGUAAGACAGAGGUGAAAUCCCCGGGCUCAACCUGGGAACUGCCUUUGUGACUGCAAUGCUAGAGUACGGCAGAGGGGGAUGGAAUUCCGCGUGUAGCAGUGAAAUGCGUAGAUAUGCGGAGGAACACCGAUGGCGAAGGCAAUCCCCUGGGCCUGUACUGACGCUCAUGCACGAAAGCGUGGGGAGCAAACAGGAUUAGAUACCCCGGUAGUCCCUGUCUCUUAUAC